rnacentral:tRNA from 1 species
GCGGGUGUAGCUCAGUUGGUAGAGCACCAGAUUGUGGCUCUGGUGGUCGUGGGUUCGAACCCCAUCGCUCGCC